rnacentral:rRNA from 1 species
CCUACGGGAGGCAGCAGGGAGGAAUAUUGGUCAAUGGGCGCGAGCCUGAACCAGCCAAGUAGCGUGAAGGAUGACUGCCCGAUGGGUUGUAAACUUCUGUUAUAUGGGAAUAAAGUGCAGUAUGUAUACUGCUUUGCAUGUACCUUAUGAAUAAGGAUCGGCUAACUCCGUGCCAGCAGCCGCGGUAAUACGGCGGAUCCGAGCGUUCUCCGGAUUUAUGGGGGUUAACGGGAGCGUAGGCGGGUUGUUAAGUCAGUUGUGAAAGUUUGCGGCUCAACCGUAAAAUUGCAGUUGAUACUGGCAUCCUUGAGUACCGUUGAGGUCGGCGGAAUUC